rnacentral:lncRNA from 1 species
UAUGAAUUAAGAUUUUUCUCAUUAUUGACACAGCAUCCUGAAUGUAACUCAUUGAUUGUAGUCUCAUUAAAAUGCACACUUAAUAAUUCAAAUGAUAAAGAUGUAUGCUUUACUACAACUUGAAAAAUCCAACAGGGUAGAUGAUAAACGUAGUGGCAGGGUAUGUAGAUCCACAGAAGUUAAGUGAUCUUGUAACAUUUCAUAAAACUGGGGAUCUGCCUGGACCUUCAAAUGGGGAGGAGGUGUGAUGAGAUGCUGUCGCUGAACCAUACAGUGCCUUUCUGUAUUAAACUGUUCUUAAGGUGACUGUUUCACAUUGAUGAGGUUGCCCUAGCUAGAAAGCCAAGGCUCUUUCAAUUCUUUCUGGCCCUCCCCUUUGCCUGCCUUCGACGCCAAGGAGAAUGGUCCAGCAGCAUCUCAGCCCAUGAUUGUCAAGCGCCCACUUCCGUACAGUCCAUACACCCCAAGGUUCCUUGUGGGAUUCCUCAGCAACACCAAUGCACUGACCGUCACUCUGUGUUCUCCUAGAUUCUGAUGAAGAUCUGCAGGCGUCUGCACAUGGCGGUGUGGAGGAUAUGAAAUCAGAACGUAGCAAUUCGAAAGCCCAGUCUCAACUCUAUUCUGAUGAAGAUCUGCAGGCGUCUGCACAUGGCGGUGUGGAGGAGAAUAUGGGAUCAGAACUUGUAAGACGUAUUUCUUUCACUGGAAGAGAACCUUUUUUUGUUUUUUUCUGGGGCUUCUAGACUAUCAAGUGAAUAUCAUUUUUGACUGCCAUCAUGAAUCAGGCCUCAGUUGGUCAUGGACUUUAGCGACCAGUCACUGAAGGUUAUGACCAACUGAGGCCUGAUUGACGAUGGCAGUCAAAGGACGACAUCACUUACAAACUGUCUGGUAGUGAGUAUGUUUCUCAAUAGCAAGCUUUUCUCCCUGAAAAAUAAUUUUGUAUUUGUCAGCCAACAUGGUCACUUACUAAAUAUUCCCAAAAAAAUCCCACGGCAUUUUCCACAAGCAUUCUCUAUGCUUUAUUUGGCGGCCAGUGACUUGAUCACUGCUUGACGUCUCGGUUUUUAUUUCACCAAGUGAAUAAAAGGCCUUUGUCAACAGAACCCA